CACAGAUACGUAUGAUUUAUUUAACUGACUUUUAUUGUUUUUCUUUUAGGAGGAAAUAAAGAAAAUUCACGUGAUUUAUUUGAUUCAACGUUGUUCAAUGAGGAACAAAUAUCUGUUUCAAGUCCUGAUUUUUCUGACACAGAUUCCAAUUAUACACCGCCUAUACAAGAUACUUCAUCUGAUGAAUCUUACUUAUACGAUGACAAGAUCUUGGAUCGAGCUUGCUCAUUUCGCAAUGUACCUCAUUCAUCUGAAGAGUUUCAUCAGACGAACUACUCAUUAUUACAACUUAAGCCCUUAUCUGACAAAAAUAUUGAGCAGCCUUUAAAUGAAGAAACCUCGGUAAUCUGUAGUGAUAGUAUUUUAAGUGACAUAAGUAAUUCACCUGGCAUAACUCUUACUGUGGAUAGUAGAUUAUUAAAACCGGUAUCCAUAUCGACACAUAAAUCUAAUUCUAUUGUUUCGGGGGACACUGCAACUGUUAGUAAUACCAACCCCCAACCCAAUACCCAAGAAGAUGAGCUU